UGUGGUCCAUUUGAAAUUUUAUUACUCUGU
rnacentral:piRNA from 1 species